AUAGCGUAUAUUAAAGUUGUUGCGGUUAAAAAGCUCGUAGUUGAAUCUGUGUCCCACGCUGCCGGUUCGCCGCUCGCGGUGUUUAACUGGCAUGAUUGUGGGACGUCCUACCGGUGGGCUUAGCCUCUCGGGGCGGCCCAACUAAUAUCCCAUCGCGGUGCUCUUCACUGAGUGUCGAGGUGGGCCGGUACGUUUACUUUGAACAAAUUAGAGUGCUUAAAGCAGGCUAUUUUCGCUUGAAUACUGUGUGCAUGGAAUAAUGGAAUAGGACCUCGGUUCUAUUUUGUUGGUUUUCGGAACCCCGAGGUAAUGAUUAAUAGGGACAGAUGGGGGCAUUCGUAUUGCGACGUUAGAGGUGAAAUUCUUGGAUCGUCGCAAGACGGACAGAAGCGAAAGCAUUUGCCAAAAAUGUUUUCUUUAAUCAAGAACGAAAGUUAGAGGUUCGAAGGCGAUCAGAUACCGCCCUAGUUCUAACCAUAAACGAUGCCAGCUAGCGAUCCGCCGAAGUUCCUCCGAUGACUCGGCGGGCAGCUUCCGGGAAACCAAAGCUUUUGGGUUCCGGGGGAAGUAUGGUUGCAAAGCUGAAACUUAAAGGAAUUGACGGAAGGGCACCACCAGGAGUGGAGCCUGCGGCUUAAUUUGACUCAACACGGGAAACCUCACCAGGCCCGGACACCGGAAGGAUUGACAGAUUGAGAGCUCUUUCUUGAUUCGGUGGGUGGUGGUGCAUGGCCGUUCUUAGUUGGUGGAGCGAUUUGUCUGGUUAAUUCCGUUAACGAACGAGACUCUAGCCUGCUAAAUAGGCGUACUUUCCGGUAUCUCGAAGGCCCCCGGCUUCGGUCGGGCGGUUUUUACUACCGGCGUACAAAUAAAUCUUCUUAGAGGGAC
rnacentral:rRNA from 1 species